CUGGGAAAAAGUUAGGCUUGUAGCAUUUCUACAUCAACGAAAUGAAGCCAGUGAUUAUGAUCUCCUUGGCGCGCAACUUAGUUUGUUAUCUCUGGAGCUCUAGCCAGUGCUGUUGUACUGCUCAAGAUCCUUCUCUCGCUGAAAGUGCCCUGAGAGACACGACGAGGUGCUCCAGCUGGGCCUCAUGGAGUACUUUAGCUGGCCCGCACCCCCUCAGCUCUACAUCGGGGGCGAGUUCUUCGACGGCUGCGGCAUCACCAUCGGUAUGUAUAUAUAUGCUCUCUGUCUUUUCUUCCCCCACGAUACAGUUCAGGACUUUGAGACCCUCUGUUACAACUUACAACAUACACGCACGAUACGGAAUAUGAAUCUGUUCUCUUAGAAACCUGUUCUGGUUAGCAUCAGGGCAUAGCAAUUCAUUCAUUAAUCUGAAAUAUAAGUUCAGUUGAGGACAAUAAUCGUAGAUUUGGCAUGUGAAAACUCCAUAUCUAUCUGUGUAGAUGUUUCAUUUGCUCAUAUUGAAGGCAUGGUACAUUCUUGUAUCUGAAAGUGUCAAUGGCAGUGGCAAAAAAAUUAUGGUUGAUCUCUUCACAUUCAACAGGAUUGGAGUGGAUAUGGCACUACCUGUGGAAUAUACUCUCUCUGC